UGGGGAAUAUUGGACAAUGGGCGAAAGCCUGAUCCAGCCAUGCCGCGUGGAUGAAGAAGGCCCUAGGGUUGUAAAGUCCUUUCGGUGGUGAAGAUAAUGACGGUACCUGAAGAAUAAGCACCGGCUAACUACGUGCCAGCAGCCGCGGUAAUACAGAGGGUGCAAGCGUUAAUCGGAAUUACUGGGCGUAAAGCGCGUGUAGGUGGUUAGUUAAGUUGGAUGUGAAAUCCCCGGGCUCAACCUGGGAACUGCAUUCAAAACUGACUGACUAGAGUAUGGUAGAGGGUGGUGGAAUUUCCUGUGUAGCGGUGAAAUGCGUAGAUAUAGGAAGGAACACCAGUGGCGAAGGCGACCACCUGGACUGAUACUGACACUGAGGUGCGAAAGCGUGGGGAGCAAACAGGAUUAGAUACCCCCGUAGUCCCUGAGCGGGCUGGCAAGGCGCAU
rnacentral:rRNA from 1 species